rnacentral:rRNA from 1 species
GACGAACGCUGGCGGCGUGCUUAACACAUGCAAGUCGAACGCUGAAGCUCAGCUUUUGUUGGGUGGAUGAGUGGCGAACGGGUGAGUAACACGUGAGUAACCUGCCUCCUUCUUUGGGAUAACGCCCGGAAACGGGUGCUAAUACUGGAUAUUCACUGGUCUUCGCAUGGGGGUUGGUGGAAAGGGUUUUUCUGGUGGGGGAUGGGCUCGCGGCCUAUCAGCUUGUUGGUGGGGUGAUGGCCUACCAAGGCUUUGACGGGUAGCCGGCCGGAGAGGGUGACCGGUCACAUUGGGGCUGAGAUACGGCCCAGACUCCUACGGGAGGCAGCAGUGGGGAAUAAUGCACAAUAGGCGCAAGACUGAUGCAGCGACGCCGCGUGAGGGAUGGAGGCCUUCGGGUUGUGAACCUCUUUCGCUCAUGGUCAAGCCGCAACAAUAGUUGUGGUGAGGGUAGUGGGUAAAGAAGCGCCGGCUAACUACGUG